rnacentral:snRNA from 1 species
GUGCUCAAUUCAGCAGCACAUGUACUAAAAAAUUGGAAGGAUACAGAGAUUAGCCCCUGUGCAAGGAUGACACACGACUCUGUGAAGGUUCCAUAUUAAA